AUGAGGCAAAAUCUGCCCAAUUUUGGGUUAAAAUGGAGAAGGAUCUGCCCAAUUUUGGAGCCAAAUUUUGAGUUAAAAAGUUGCAAAAUCUGCCCCAUUUUGGAGCCAGUUUUGGGUUAAAAUGAGGCAAAAUUCGCCCAAUUUUGGGUUAAAAUGUUGCAAAAUCCGCCCAAUUUUGGAGCCAAAUUUUGAGUUAAAAUGUUGCAAAAUCCGCCCAAUUUUGGAGCCGGUUUUGGGUUAAAAUGUUGCAAAAUCUGCCCAAUUUUGGGUUAAAAUGUUGCAAAAUCCGCCCAAUUUUGGAGCCAAAUAUUGAGUUAAAAUGUUGCAAAAUCUGCCCAAGUUUGGGUCCGGUUUUGGGUUAAAAAGCGGCAGAAUUUGCCCCUUUUGAGGUGAAUUAUUUGGAUUUUUGGAUUAAUCCCCUUGAAUCCGUUCCCUCCCUCCCCGCUUCAAUUUUGGGCCCUUUUCGGGAAUUUUUUCCUCCGUUUGGGACCAAAAAUUCGAAAAUUUUCCCAAAAUCCGCAUUUUUCAGCGCCUGGAUUUUUUGGGAAUCACCCUCCCCAAAAUUCCCAUUUUUUUCCCGUUUUUUUUGCUCCUUUCCUCACCAUUUUUUGGGGGAAAAUCUUGAAUUUUCCUCCCUCCCCUCUGGCACUUUACGGGGUUCCCGCCCCCCACUCCCAAAAUUGGGAAUAUUUAUUUUUUUCCCUCAUUUUUCCCAUUUUUCCCCUUUUUUUUCCCGCCGCCCUCACGGUUUUCCCCUGAAUUUUGGUGGAUUUGGGAAAUUUUGGCAAUUCCAGAGUUCGUUCGGGAUAUUUUUGGCUAAAAAAAUGAGAAUUAAAAUGGAGAUUUAGUUUUUUGAAAUGUCGAUAAUAAAAGAAAUUAAAUAAAA